GUAUCGGUGACAGAAAUGGAUAUGUCCCUGUCUGCAAAACAGGUUUAUGAGGGUUCAAGUCCCUUCCGAUACUCCA
rnacentral:tRNA from 3 species